rnacentral:rRNA from 1 species
AACAAACGCUGGCGGCAUGCCUAACACAUGCAAGUCGAACGAGACCUUCGGGUCUAGUGGCGCACGGGUGCGUAACGCGUGGGAACCUGCCUUUAGGUUCGGAAUAACUCCCCGAAAGGGGUGCUAAUACCGGAUAAUGUCUUCGGACCAAAGAUUUAUCGCCUUUAGAUGGGCCCGCGUAAGAUUAGGUAGUUGGUGGGGUAAAGGCCUACCAAGCCGACGAUCUUUAGCUGGUCUGAGAGGAUGAUCAGCCACACUGGGACUGAGACACGGCCCAGACUCCUACGGGAGGCAGCAGUGGGGAAUAUUGGACAAUGGGCGAAAGCCUGAUCCAGCAAUGCCGCGUGAGUGAUGAAGGCCUUAGGGUUGUAAAGCUCUUUUACCAGGGAUGAUAAUGACAGUACCUGGAGAAUAAGCUCCGGCUAACUCCGUGCCAGCAGCUGCGGUAAUACGGAGGGAGCUAGCGUUGUUCGGAAUUACUGGCGUAAAGCGCACGUAGGCGGCG